rnacentral:misc_RNA from 1 species
GCAAACUUGGUCAUUUAGAGGAAGUAAAAGUCGUAACAAGGUUUCCGUAGGUGAACCUGCGGAAGGAUCAUUACAAAAGGACGCAAGUCCUACUUGACUGUGCGCUUCGGCGGCACGUCUGUCCACACCUGUGCACCUUCGGUCGGCUUGUCCGGCUGUACAUUUACUAUGUCUGUCUCGAAUGUCUCAUCGUAAUUAAUACAACUAUCAGCAACGGAUCUCUUGGCUCUCGCAUCGAUGAAGAACGCAGC